rnacentral:rRNA from 1 species
UACGAAGGGGGCUAGCGUUGCUCGGAAUCACUGGGCGUAAAGCGCACGUAGGCGGCUUUUUAAGUCAGGGUGAAAUCCUGGAGCUCAACUCCAGAACUGCCUUUGAUACUGAGAAGCUCGAGUCCGGGAGAGGUGAGUGGAACUGCGAGUGUAGAGGUGAAAUUCGUAGAUAUUCGCAAGAACACCAGUGGCGAAGGCGGACUCACUGGCCC